rnacentral:rRNA from 1 species
CCUACGGGAGGCAGCAGUGGGGAAUUUUGGACAAUGGGCGCAAGCCUGAUCCAGCCAUGCCGCGUGCGGGAAGAAGGCCUUCGGGUUGUAAACCGCUUUUGUCAGGGAAGAAAUCUUCUGGGCUAAUACCCUGGGAGGAUGACGGUACCUGAAGAAUAAGCACCGGCUAACUACGUGCCAGCAGCCGCGGUAA